GUGGGGAAUAUUGCACAAUGGGGGAAACCCUGAUGCAGCAACGCCGCGUGAGUGAUGACGGUCUUCGGAUUGUAAAACUCUGUCUUUGGGGACGAUAAUGACGGUACCCAAGGAGGAAGCCACGGCUAACUACGUGCCAGCAGCCGCGGUAAUACGUAGGUGGCAAGCGUUGUCCGGAUUUACUGGGCGUAAAGGGAGCGUAGGUGGAUAUUUAAGUGGGAUGUGAAAUACUCGGGCUUAACUUGGGUGCUGCAUUUCAAACUGGAAGUCUAGAGUGCAGGAGAGGAGAAUGGAAUUCCUAGUGUAGCGGUGAAAUGCGUAGAGAUUAGGAAGAACACCAGUGGCGAAGGCGAUUCUCUGGACUGUAACUGACGCUGAGGCUCGAAAGCGUGGGGAGCAAACAGGAUUAGAUACCCGGGUAGUCC
rnacentral:rRNA from 1 species